AUGGGGCUCGCUGUGGGGCCGGCACCGCAGGACACCAAUGGGAACAGCGAAGGGGACGUCGCGGGCGCUGCAGUCCCCAUUGACCUCCUCCUAUGGGUCCUCAGUGGUGUCUCCUACCCCAUUGCAGACCCAGCCACCUCUCCCCAUGUCUACCCAUUGCUGCCCUGCGACUGCCUGGACCCGGUCUCCAUUGGCUGCUUGGCCAAGGGCUUCCUCCCAACGCCCAUCUCCAUCACUUGGGUCUCCAACGUGGGGGGGGACGUCGAGACCUUCCCCAGCCAAUGGAUCCAGAGCUCCUACAGCGCCAGCUCCCAGUUGAUCGUCCCGGCCACCAGUUUGAAUGGGGAGAGCUUCCAGUGCAAGGUGGAGCACAGCAGCACCCAGAGCAGCACCACGGAGGUCAUCGAAGGUUCCCAAGUCUGCCGCCCCCACCUGUUGUCCAUGAGGCUGUUGGCCGACCCCAACCAGGAGGACCCCGAGGGGGACGUCCUCCUGCUGUGCCUCAUCGAGGGCCAUGGGGCGGCGGGCGCCAAGGUGGAGUGGUUGGAGAACCAAGAGCCGAUGGCGGUGGAGCGGGAGGACGUGGGCUGCGAGCGCUGCAACGGCACGGCCGAGUCCGGCGCGAGGAGCGCGGUGAACGUGAGCAGGACCAAGUGGGAGCUGGGCACCCGGUUCUCCUGCAGGGUGACCCACAAGGGGCUGGGCACCCCCAAGGAGCUCAGCAUCAGCAGCUUCUGCUCGGAGCCCAAGCCCGUGGUGGACGUCUCCAUCCUGCCCCCGUCGCUGGAGGACCUGUACCUCCAUCAGAAUUCCAGCCUCACCUGCGUGGUUUCCAACCUCAAAUCCCAUUGGGACGUGAAGUUCUCCUGGAGCCGGGAUAAAGGCAGCUCAUUGGACGCGGUGGCGGGGCCCGUGGAGGAGCUGCCCAAUGGGCUCUAUCGGCUCAGCAGCUCCCUGGGGGUCUGCGCCGAGGAGUGGAACUCGGGGGAGAGGUUCUCGUGCACCGUCAGCAUCCCGGAGCUCCAGGAACCAAUCACCAGGUCCAUCCGGAAGGAGCUAGCCACCGUCGUGAGGCCCCCAUCGGUCUACGUCUUCCCGCCCCCCGCCGACGAGCUGUCCCUCCAAGAGACGGCCACGUUGACCUGCUUGGCCACCGGCUUCACCCCAAAGGACAUCCUGCUCACUUGGACCCAUCAGGACCGCCCCGUGCCCUCCGGGAGCUUCACCACCUUCGGCCCCGAAGCCGACGGCGACGCCUUCAGCCUCUAUAGCCUGCUACGGGUGCCGGUGGCGGAGUGGCAACGGGGGGACUCCUUCGCCUGCGUGGUUGGGCACGAAGGGAUCCCAUUGACCUUCAUCCAGAAGAACAUGGACAAGAGCCUGGGUAAACCCACCAUGGUCAACGUCUCCGUGGUGCUCAGCGACACCGACGUCACCUGCUACUAA